GGUUAAGACCAUAAUAACUUACAGAAACCCACAUCUAAGAUGUGAGCUAUUUUUUUCUAUUUUCAUUGAGCUCAGUGCUUUAUGUGAACAGAGAUGGGAUUUUGAAAGAUAGAGAGGUGACAAAAACAAAACAAAACAAAACAAAACAAAAACAAACAAACAAACAAAAGCAACAUGGUACCACUUUUAUACUUAGGAACACUGAUUUUUCUUCACCUGAAAACUUUGCCCUGAAAUUUUGCUGUCUCUGGAAACAGUAUUUCCUUCCCAUCUCACAUGUGUAUGUGCCUCUCCCUCCCACUUCCCCUCCUUCCCCUCUUCUUACCUCCCCUGUUUGUACAAAGAACUAAUCUGUUUACCAUAGUCAAAGGUUGGCUAUGUGGUACAUGACAAAGACCCUACAAUGAGAAGGACAGCUGCUUCUGACUCUGGAGAAAUAGGUAUCUGAUCUAUUUUAGAAAAUAUUAAAGUGUGUAGAAGUUAAGAUUUUAUUCCUAGAAAGUUUUUGAAAUAAGAUCAAUUCUUAUAUAUUUGUGAUAUUUUUAGUGCUUAAGGGAAUAAAAGCUAAUCUAUUUAUGCUACUUUUUAUUCAACUCAGUAAUACAUUUCAACUUUUAUCAUAUACUUCAAUGAAAUUUAUAGGAAUUUGAUUCUCAAAGAUUGUGCUUAUUGGCAUUUUAUAGUUUAGCUGUUGGUUGGUUUCACAUGGAUCUCAGGAGUGACUUUUGCUUAUAAAAAGAGUCCAAGAUUCUAACUUAAACUUUAGGAAAAUAAAUGUAGUCACAAUAGCAAUUAAGAGUCAAAAAUAAAACUAAGUAGUAGUAAUUUUCUCAAAUUAUCUUAGACAAAUGAAUACUAUUUGAAAAGACCACAUAUCUCUACAAUCAUAAACUUAAGGAAAAGUUCCAGAGUGACUACUGGCAACUUCAGAAGCUGCAGAAGAAAUUGUCAAUGAAAUUGUAUUCCAUAGCUUUACCAUUGGUAUAGCCAAAACUGCAUCCAAAUCCCAAAUGUUUAGGAGAUUGGUUGGCCCAGUUGAUUUCAGACAUCUCUCAUCUGCACUCAGAGAGGCAGAGACAACGUUUCAAUAACCAGUUGAUAUAUACAAGUUGACCGUCUGAGACUAGGUGGAUUGUACUGAUGACCAGUAAGCCUAUUUCAUUGUUCCUUAGGUCUUACCAUAAACAGAGCUACUCCAUUUCCUACGCAUUAAACUCUCUCUAGUUUUCCAUAAACCAGAAAGCAAACAGCAGCCAGAAUGGCUGCCAUCCUUGUUCCAGACAGGAAAACACCACCGUACUACCAGAGACCUUGUGUUGAUGCUGAGCCACAAAUAAAAGCUACCCUUUGGACUCUGUUUUCUCAAGGUUAUGUGCUGGGCACUUUUCAUGUGUAUCUUAAUUGUGUUUAUCAGUUCUGAGUUUUAUAGGUAAAAUAGUGAAUGCAACUACUGCCAUUGCAACCAGAACACAAAGUUUUGGAGACAUGUGUAGAAAACAACAAUAAAAACUGAAAUGAUUUAGGAAAAAUAAAAAAUUUUUUGUUGAGACAAUUACACAGCUGUCAUUAAAUGAGAAACUCUAGCAUUUAAAGGGGAACUGUCCGAGGCUAGAGAAAUGUGUUUACAGACUUACAGGAGAUCUUAUUUAAUAUUUCUUUUAUGUCCCCCUUUCUUAUUUUUAAUUUUCCCAUAUCUUCACAAGAAAUGACAGCCUUAUCCCUUGUUUAAGUACUUGGUGGCCCUUCAUACGGAAAGGUACUAUAAUCUUCCAGUUUUUUAAAUUAAGCUCAUUGCCUAUAAUUUCAUAACCACAGCUGCAGAAGGAUGAAUGUCUAGAACCUUUGAAAUGGGAUUCAAGUGCUAUAUGUGUGUCCUUAUACAUGCACUCAUGGGCAAUCAGUUCUAUUUGGGAAGGAGUUAGUGGGUAUUCGAGGAUGUCAAACGCCCAGUACUGCUAUUUAAGAAGUAAUGAGCUCGAGCAAUAAGAUCUGUCAAGGUCUUUGCAUUGUACCACAUUGCCUUUUCAGUUCAUUAAAUCAUCUUUCUCU
rnacentral:lncRNA from 1 species